GGCACCGAGCCCAGCAGUAACCCCGGAGGGAAAUCGUAUCGUGCUUCUACCAGUUCAAAGGGGAGGCGGCGGCGGCCGGGCCGGUUGUGGAGGUGUUGGAGCUCCCACUCUGGGCAGGGCGCACAGGUGCCUCAUUCAGGCAAAAGCCCCCCCCCCUUUUUUUCUUGCCUCCAGGGUUAUCCCUGGGGCUCAGUGUCUGAACUAAGAAUCCACUGCUCCUGUGUCCCAUUUUUUCUUUUAUUUUCCACGAGAGCACUGCUCAGCUCUGGCUUAUGGUGGUGCAGGGGUUGAACCUGAAGACUUUAGAGCCUCAGGCAGCAGAGUCUGAUUACAGAACCACUGUGCUACCUAUCCCCCCACCCCAGCCAUCUUCUCGGAUUUUUUUUUUUUUUGGAUAGGACAGAGAAACCUGUGUGUGUGGGUAGAUGACACCUACAGACCUGCUUCACUGCUUGUGAAGCGACCCACCUGCACAUGGGAAGCUGGGGGCUCUAACUGGGACCCUAACGCUGUGUGCUUAGUGUGCUUAACCCCGGCUACCGCCGCCGGCCCCCCGUGACCCGAAGUCUUGCCUCUUAACUGGCGGCGGGAGAGCUGCAGCCUAGAGGGGUCCGAAGCCCCCCGCCUCAUGACUGAGCCUGUGCACACACGUACAACAAGGCAGGCAAGGGUUUCUGGUUUUGGCUUUGAAGCCUUUUUAUUAAAAAAAAAAAAAAAAAAAAACAACAACAACAAAAAAAAAAAAACCUCAAAAAAAUAUUUUUCCAUUGGAGGCUAUUUCUUUUUUUGUUAUUUUUUUAAAAAAAAAUUUUAUUACACAAAUAGUUCCCGUUCCCAUGUGUCAGAGAAAAGCUAUCUUUGCUCUUGCUAGAACCAGAAGUGGAGAAAUGCCUAGAAACAGUCCAGUAGCUUCCCUCCGUCCCUGGCCCAAAGGAACCCGACAUGUCGGCUCAGCAUGACUCGUCUCUUGAUGCUUACACUUAAUUUAGAUUUCCUUAGCACAACAUCGGAGAUGGACUCUAAGUUAGCAACAAAAAAUAGAUAUUUACAGCAUUUCUCCGGGAAAAACAACAACAAAAAGACGCAACCAAACCCUUUAAACAUAGUGACUUUAGGAGUUUUAUUUAUGGAGAGUUAUUUUUUUUAAUCACCAAGUGAUUUUAUAUUAUAUAUAUAUAUAUAUAUAUAUAUAAAUCUUCUUCCUUUCCUUUGUGGUUUUUCGCCCCGGGGCUUGGAAAGACGGAGGCCGGCUGUGGGGCUGCUCGGCUGAGGAGGGAGGCUCUCCUGGCUGAAGCGGGAGCAGAGCGCAGGCGACGGACGUGAUGGAAUUCUCUGGCCCUCUGCCCCCAAGGGACAGUCCUGUCUCCUCAGCUGGGACCAGCCCUCGAAGUCCCAGAGAAAAGGAAGACCCAGCCAGUGCCUCGGUCUCCUGCUGCCAAUCCUGGGUUUCCCUUUUCCGCUGACCGAGUUACGUGCACGGGUUCUUUGCAGAGAAGUUCCCCGACACUGAGGCACUCUGGAAUAAGUCACUGGCAUUUCCUCAAAGCUCCAGCCCCGGCCGGGCCGCAGGGUCACUCACGGUCACAGACUGCUGUGAAGGUGCAGCCCAGUCAGCAGAUAGGAAGAAGCAGAUGCGAUGCCACCGCCCGCGGGACCCGCCGCCCCUCGCCCCUUGCGAGGCCAGCCCAUGACCCAUGCCGGGGCGGAGCCGGGCGAGGUGGCAAAGGGGGACCCCUCUGCCGCUAUUGCUUUGGAAGUGGCGGGGGCGCAGCCGGCGUGGCGUGGCGUGGUGUGGCGUGUCUCCUGGGGCUCGGGCUGGGGGCUCCUUCAGCUCUGGUGCGGUCGGGCGGCAGGGAAGGGGCUGGGGGGGGCGAGCAGGCGGGCAGGUUGUGCUAUGACUAGCCUUCCUUCCGGUGGGAGCAGAGUGCAAAUCCAUCACGCGUGAGCUCUCGCCACGUCGGUACGGACCCAAGAGGAGCCCCGACCUUUCUGUCCUUUCAUUAAAGUGCAAAAAGCUCUC